rnacentral:rRNA from 1 species
AUUGAACGCUGGCGGCAGGCCUAACACAUGCAAGUCGAGCGGAUGAAGGGAGCUUGCUCCUGGAUUCAGCGGCGGACGGGUGAGUAAUGCCUAGGAAUCUGCCUGGUAGUGGGGGAUAACGUCCGGAAACGGGCGCUAAUACCGCAUACGUCCUGAGGGAGAAAGUGGGGGAUCUUCGGACCUCACGCUAUCAGAUGAGCCUAGGUCGGAUUAGCUAGUUGGUGGGGUAAAGGCCUACCAAGGCGACGAUCCGUAACUGGUCUGAGAGGAUGAUCAGUCACACUGGAACUGAGACGCGGUCCAGACUCCUACGGGAGGCAGCAGUGGGGAAUAUUGGACAAUGGGCGAAAGCCUGAUACAGCCAUGCCGCGUGUGUGAAGAAGGUCUUCGGAUUGUAAAGCACUUUAAGUUGGGAGGAAGGGCAGUAAGUUAAUACCUUGCUGUUUUGACGUUACCAACAGAAUAAGCACCGGCUAACUUCGUG